UGUGCAGAAAUCCAUUUGGGUGUCAGCUUUUGAGUGGUUCGUUUAUGCAUCUUUGAUAUUCAUUUGGUGAGUGGUUUCCAUGCUAACCUUGUCAAUUGAACGGUAUCUUGCAGGUCAUCUUGAUCUCGUUGUCUGUUCGACCUUGACUCUCUCCCUCUUGCUCUGAUCUCCUUCAAUCUCAAGAAAAUUUGCCUUUGACGUACAUUUUCUUUUUCUAUGAUUUUCUUAAAAAAAUUAUUGGUUUCUUCCACUAGAAUAUUAAUGUACAUGAAAAAUACACACACAGCACAAGAUUCCCUCUAUACUCAUAUUAGCUACACCAAACUUUUUCAUGAAUGUGUGUCAACAUUGACUAUUUGGCACAUUGAGCGAUUACCCAUGCAUAUAUGCUCAAUGUCAAUAAUUUAAGGUUUUGUCGUUAUAAGAGCAUUUAUAUUUUACCCCCAAUAAGGUAGUGUUUGUUUUGAUCCAUCUCGUUUCCUUUUUACCCUUUUUCUGUAAUUUGCAGAUGAUUGCAAUAUUUGGUCUGACUGACAAUUCCAUCAUAUAUAAUUAUGUAUUGUCUAGUUCUUUGGAUUGUCGUUUUUGGUGUCUGUAAUUCCAUAAAAAGCUUCCAAGAAUUAGGAUGUUGUUUUUAAGAAUGUUCGUUCACCCAAUCCCAUGAUAAUUAAUGACAAACAAGUAAUUCCAAACAAAACUCAAGGUCGGACAGGCUACGAAAUUGAGAUACAAACAAGAACUGUUUGCUUGACAAGUUUCGAAUGGAAAACGAUAUCCCUGAUCAUCUCUUCAAUCUGAGUUUCCAGAAAGUUCUGAUGAUCAAGACUAGAGAUGAAGAUUUAUCCCGAGUGAUCAUGAAUUCUAGAGUUUGUAAGUUAUCAUGUCAGUUUUUGUAAAUUUUACCUUUGCUAUUAAAUUGUAAUUGUAAAUAGUUAAAGAGUUUUUAUCCAUUUCACUCAAUCUUUAAAUAGAAUGGAAAACAAUCCUUUUGUAACAUCUUUGUCAUUUGUGACAAAGGAUGAUUCAAUGA